GAUGAACGCUAGCGGGAGGCUUAACACAUGCAAGUCGAGGGGCAGCAUAGGGUAGCAAUACUCUGAUGGCGACCGGCAAACGGGUGAGUAACGCGUAUGCAACCUACCCUGUACAGGGGGAUAACCCGGAGAAAUUCGGACUAAUAUCCCGUAAUAAUAUCCGGAGGCAUCUUUGGAUAUUUAAAGUUCCGACGGUACGGGAUGGGCAUGCGUAACAUUAACUGGUUGGUAAGGUAACGGCUUACCAAGGCUAUGAUGUUUAGGGGUCCUGAGAGGGUGGUCCCCCACACUGGUACUGAGACACGGACCAGACUCCUACGGGAGGCAGCAGUGAGGAAUAUUGGUCAAUGGGCGCAAGCCUGAACCAGCCAUCCCGCGUGCAGGAAGACGGCCCUAUGGGUUGUAAACUGCUUUUCCAGGGAGAGAAACUUACGCGCGUGUUGCGUGACUGACGGUACCCUGGGAAUAAGCAUCGGCUAACUCCGUG
rnacentral:rRNA from 1 species